UGGCGGCGUGCCUAAUACAUGCAAGUCGAACGAACUCUGGUAUUGAUUGGUCUUGCAUCAUGAUUUACAUUUGAGUGAGUGGCGAACUGGUGAGUAACACGUGGGAAACCUGCCCAGAAGCGGGGGAUAACACCUGGAAACAGAUGCUAAUACCGCAUAACAACUUGGACCGCAUGGUCCGAGUUUGAAAGAUGGCUUCGGCUAUCACUUUUGGAUGGUCCCGCGGCGUAUUAGCUAGAUGGUGGGGUAACGGCUCACCAUGGCAAUGAUACGUAGCCGACCUGAGAGGGUAAUCGGCCACAUUGGGACUGAGACACGGCCCAAACUCCUACGGGAGGCAGCAGUAGGGAAUCUUCCACAAUGGACGAAAGUCUGAUGGAGCAACGCCGCGUGAGUGAAGAAGGGUUUCGGCUCGUAAAACUCUGUUGUUAAAGAAGAACAUAUCUGAGAGUAACUGUUCAGGUAUUGACGGUAUUUAACCAGAAAGCCACGGCUAACUACGUGCCAGCAGCCGCGGUAAUACGUAGGUGGCAAGCGUUGUCCGGAUUUAUUGGGCGUAAAGCGAGCGCAGGCGGUUUUUUAAGUCUGAUGUGAAAGCCUUCGGCUCAACCGAAGAAGUGCAUCGGAAACUGGGAAACUUGAGUGCAGAAGAGGACAGUGGAACUCCAUGUGUAGCGGUGAAAUGCGUAGAUAUAUGGAAGAACACCAGUGGCGAAGGCGGCUGUCUGGUCUGUAACUGACGCUGAGGCUCGAAAGUAUGGGUAGCAAACAGGAUUAGAUACCCUGGUAGUCCAUACCGUAAACGAUGAAUGCUAAGUGUUGGAGGGUUUCCGCCCUUCAGUGCUGCAGCUAACGCAUUAAGCAUUCCGCCUGGGGAGUACGGCCGCAAGGCUGAAACUCAAAGGAAUUGACGGGGGCCCGCACAAGCGGUGGAGCAUGUGGUUUAAUUCGAAGCUACGCGAAGAACCUUACCAGGUCUUGACAUACUAUGCAAAUCUAAGAGAUUAGACGUUCCCUUCGGGGACAUGGAUACAGGUGGUGCAUGGUUGUCGUCAGCUCGUGUCGUGAGAUGUUGGGUUAAGUCCCGCAACGAGCGCAACCCUUAUUAUCAGUUGCCAGCAUUAAGUUGGGCACUCUGGUGAGACUGCCGGUGACAAACCGGAGGAAGGUGGGGAUGACGUCAAAUCAUCAUGCCCCUUAUGACCUGGGCUACACACGUGCUACAAUGGAUGGUACAACGAGUUGCGAACUCGCGAGAGUAAGCUAAUCUCUUAAAGCCAUUCUCAGUUCGGAUUGUAGGCUGCAACUCGCCUACAUGAAGUCGGAAUCGCUAGUAAUC
rnacentral:rRNA from 2 species